ACCAUGACCUGAUGUUCUAUGACCACCGGCGUCAAGGCGGAGUUUGGAAAGCGGCGGCCAGUGUUGAUUAAUUUAAAUUAUUUUAUAUAUAUUUAAUAAGACAUUGUUUGAGCAUUGAAACUGAUCAUUUUAAAAGGUGUUGAACUUUAUCUUGGUGUUUUUUUUAUCCAUUUCAUUACUGACUGAAGCUAUUCCCUGCUUUCUUUCAGCACAGAAACUCGGGGGUGUCACUGGCAAAAAUGCAUCUCACAUCUGAGCAGAAGCUGGAUUCUGACAUUCAGAAUUGUCACCCCCCCACCCCAGUCAGCCCUUCUUCAGGGGGGAGGCGCUUUGGCUGACACGGACUGGAUUCAUCAUAACGGAGGACGGUGAUAUUAUCAUCACUGCCCAAGUCGUCCGGGGGAGCUGCAGAGUGCAGGUGGAGCUUGAAAGUCAGCAGAAAAUUGAAGCCACCAUCAAACGUGUUGAUGAGGAGGCAGACAUCGCCCUCAUUCACAUUAAUUCCUCCGUGAGAAUGUGUGUUCUUCCUCUCCCUUUUCCCCUUUCCUUUCUUCUUUUCAACCCACUUUACUUUAGAGUCAGUUCACAGCUGUGGUUGUCUCAAGGCACUACCCAAAACGCGAGAAAAAGCAAAUCAACGUUGCUCAUUCCAGUUGUCAUAUUCAAAGUAUUUAAUCAGCCCCCAAAAGUUCUCCCACUUAAAAGAUGAGAGAGGCAUGAGAAAAAAA